rnacentral:rRNA from 1 species
GGCCGCGGGAAUUCGAUUCAGGCCUAACACAUGCAAGUCGAGCGGUAGAGAGAAGCUUGCUUCUCUUGAGAGCGGCGGACGGGUGAGUAAUGCCUAGGAAUCUGCCUGGUAGUGGGGGAUAACGUUCGGAAACGGACGCUAAUACCGCAUACGUCCUACGGGAGAAAGCAGGGGACCUUCGGGCCUUGCGCUAUCAGAUGAGCCUAGGUCGGAUUAGCUAGUUGGUGAGGUAAUGGCUCACCAAGGCUACGAUCCGUAACUGGUCUGAGAGGAUGAUCAGUCACACUGGAACUGAGACACGGUCCAGACUCCUACGGGAGGCAGCAGUGGGGAAUAUUGGACAAUGGGCGAAAGCCUGAUCCAGCCAUGCCGCGUGUGUGAAGAAGGUCUUCGGAUGUAAAGUAAAUGAAGUUGGGAGGAAGGGCAUUAACCUAAUACGUUA